GUGUGAAUUGUUCAUUUAGAAGAUACCCAUUUGUCCUGCAUCACAAAAAUAAUGAAAACAACAAAACUCAGAUCUAAGGAUCACGAUCGUCUCUCUUCAAUCGAACAAGUUAUUCUUUCUUAACUCCUGAAGCUUGGACCACCAUUGAGCUACAUUUCCAUUUGGCGGUUGGGGUUAUGCUUUAUCUUCUCCAUCUCCGUCUUCGUCUUCAUUGAAGAUUGUUAUAAUUGUGGCGAAGAGCAGCAAAAAGUCCCCGAAUUCUUCUCCAAAGGUUUGCCCUAUUAGAAAAAUGAAUGAAUUUAUGAAUUAAAGGCAAUUCCUUUAGCAGAUUCUACACUUUUUCUUUAAGGGCUUGUUCAGUGAAGUUAAUUUAGUUACUAGAAAGGCUGGAAAUGGAGUUGGGGAAUUAGUCUAGACGCAGUUAUAAUGUGGUCAUAGCAAGGGAAAUUGAACGAAGCGAAUAGUUUGUCGGAAUGGUUGAUUCAAAGAAGUGUGUAUGCUGAUGUUUACACUCACAACAUUUUAAUGAAUGAUUAUUGCCUGGCAGAUAAAAUUGGUGAUACAAGAAGUUGUUUGAUUCUAUAACUAGACAAGGGGUAUUGACCUGAUGUUGUCUGCUAGUUAUACCCCUUUCUAGUUAUAUAUUCAAACAACUCCCUUGCAUCACCAAUUCUAUCUGCCAAGCAAUAACCAUUCAUUAAAAUGUUGUAAGUAUAAACGUUGGGAUCCACACUUCUUUGAAUCAGCAAUUCCGACAACCUAUUUGCUUCGUGCAAUUUCCCUUUCUGCAAAGUUCAUCUAUGACCACAUUAUAAGUGACUGUGUCUGGACUAACUCCUGAACUCUUCAUUUCCAAAUUUCAGCGAUUCUUCCACUAAAGAUAGAGUGAUAAUCACAAUUUGAAAAUCAAUCCAGGGAAAAUAGAGUUAUAGGUUUUUUUUUAACCAAAAAAUUAGCAUGGAUCCUGAAGCAGCAAAACUUAAGAGAGAACUAGAGUCUUAUAAGAAGAGGAAUGGUUCUACUUUAGCCUUCUUUAAUUUGCUCUCUGUGUUGAGGAAAGAGAGAUUAAUGAUCAUAACACAGGCAGAGGAAAUUUCUGAUUCUUCAGUAAAUGAACAGCCUAUAGAAUUUGAUAUGGGUAGUAGUUUGGGCCUAAGUAAUUGGGAGAAAGAAGAGGAAAAUAGGAGAAAAAUUGAUUCCAAGAAGAUGAAAGUUCCAGUUCCAUAACAGGCUUUGGAGGAAGAGGUGGUUGCAAAACUUUUUAGAGAACUAGAGUCUUACAAGAAGAAGAAUAGUAUUAUAGCCCUCUUUAAUUUUCUCUGUGUGCCAAAGAAAAAGAAAUCAGUUAUCAUAAGACGGGCAGAGAAGGUUUCUGAUUCUUCAGGACAAGAUACGAGAAGCUUUGAAGGGACACAGACUACAGUAUUUGACAAUAUGGGUUGUAGUUCUUGUGUAGGCAGCUGGGAGAAAGAAUAGGAGGAAGAAGAGAAAAGGAAGGACCAAAGGAGAAAAGUUAGUUUCAAGGAGAUGAAAGUUCCACAGCAGGUUUCGGAGAUUUUAGAUAUUCAAUGUAUUUGAUGGAUUGGAUGUUUUCAUCAUUUUAUAAUAAAAAAAAUUGGCUUCUUUUUAAUGGGUGUUAGCUAUAGUCGUACUGUGCGUAGAGAUAAUUUGUAAUUUAUGUAAGUGUUCCUUGUAUGGUAAAUAAUGUAUAUUCUGAAAUUAUAGCAGAUGAUUUGUUCGUUGUUUCGAAAUUA